rnacentral:rRNA from 1 species
GGCUUAGAGUUUGAUCAUGGCUCAGGAUGAACGCUGGCGGCGUGCCUAACACAUGCAAGUCGAGCGAAGCACUUUACUUUGAGAUCUUCGGAAGGAUAAGUUUUGUGACUGAGCGGCGGACGGGUGAGUAACGCGUGGGUAACCUGCCCCAUACAGGGGGAUAACAGUUAGAAAUGACUGCUAAUACCGCAUAAGACCACAGCACCGCAUGGUGCAGGGGUAAAAACUCCGGUGGUAUGGGAUGGACCCGCGUCUGAUUAGCUAGUUGGUGAGGUAACGGCCCACCAAGGCAACGAUCAGUAGCCGACCUGAGAGGGUGACCGGCCACAUUGGGACUGAGACACGGCCCAAACUCCUACGGGAGGCAGCAGUGGGGAAUAUUGCACAAUGGGGGAAACCCUGAUGCAGCGACGCCGCGUGAGCGAAGAAGUAUUUCGGUAUGUAAAGCUCUAUCAGCAGGGAAGAAAAUGACGGUACCUGACUAAGAAGCACCGGCUAAAUACGUGCCAGCAGCCGCGGUAAUACGUAUGGUGCAAGCGUUAUCCGGAUUUACUGGGUGUAAAGGGAGCGUAGACGGAUAGGCAAGUCUGAAGUGAAAGCCCGGGGCUCAACCCCGGGACUGCUUUGGAAACUGUUUAUCUAGAGUGCUGGAGAGGUAAGUG